GUAUCUGGCAUCUGGACUUGUAUUUGUCUGUGUGCUCGACGACUACGUGGUUCGAGUACUUUUUUUCGUGGGCGCUGUUCUCCAUAACGUAUCUAUUCAAAGUUCUCGGUUGCCACCAUAAGAAAACGUUCCAGAAAAAUCGUUGUGCUUUCUGUAGAGCUGUCGUUUGUAUGGGUGGGAGCUGCAUGUGAGGUGCCACGUAGUGUCUGUCAGAAAUACCAGAUGGGCUAAUGCAGGACAUGUCCAGCAACACUGAGUAUUGUGAUAGUAGUUGUGACAGUGCACAAUGCAGAACAGUGAUCUCCAGGAAGCAAGCAAGACAGCAUCCAUACUGCUUGCAAUUAACCCAUCUCUGCCUGAACUAGAAAACUAUUAAUGGAAACUACACUGCAAAAUUAAGGCAUUAAAACAGAUCACUACUGGAAACCAUUGCUUCAAGGAAAGCACGACUAUUAGAAGAACAAAUUGGAGCUCUUGGCCUGGAUGAUAUGGGAUCAUGACAGCGUUGGUUUAGAAUUUAAAUGGUGCUGGAGAGAAGGCAGUCUGCAUUCUGAAGAUUUGGGUAUGUGGAUUUCACCUGGAUCCAAAUUGAAGUGGAAGUUGAAUAGUCUGAAUCUCCCCCUUAAUGAAUGAUACACAAUGUGUUUCAUUAUAUGGAUUCAAGAGUAG